rnacentral:rRNA from 1 species
CCUACGGGAGGCAGCAGUGAGGAAUAUUGGUCAAUGGUCGGGAGACUGAACCAGCCAAGCCGCGUGAGGGAGGAAGGUACAGAGUAUCGUAAACCUCUUUUGUCAGGGAACAAAGGCGGGGAUGUGUCCCCGGAUGAGUGUACCUGAAGAAAAAGCAUCGGCUAACUCCGUGCCAGCAGCCGCGGUAAUACGGAGGAUGCGAGCGUUAUCCGGAUUUAUUGGGUUUAAAGGGUGCGCAGGCGGUCUGUUAAGUCAGCGGUCAAAGCCCGGGGCUCAACCCCGGCCCGCCGUUGAAACUGGCAGUCGCGAGUUGGAGAGAAGUAUGCGGAAUGCGCGGUGUAGCGGUGAAAUGCAUAGAUAUCGCGCAGAACUCCGAUUGCGAAGGCAGCAUGCCGGCUCCACACUGACGCUGAGGCACGAAAGCGUGGGUAUCGAACAGGAUUAGAUACCCUUGUAGUC